rnacentral:rRNA from 1 species
GACGUAGGGGGCGAGCGUUGUUCGGAUUCAUUGGGCGUAAAGGGUGCGUAGGCGGCGCGGUAAGUCGGGUGUGAAAUCUCGGGGCUUAACUCCGAAACUGCAUUCGAUACUGCCGUGCUUGAGGACUGGAGAGGAGACUGGAAUUUACGGUGUAGCGGUGAAAUGCGUAGAUAUCGUAAGGAAGACCAGUGGCGAAGGCGGGUCUCUGGACAGUUCCUGACGCUGAGGCACGAAGGCCAGGGGAGCAAACGGG